ensembl:lncRNA
UUUAUAUUAUAUCACAACCAAAUCACUCUGCCAGGAAUCCCUCCAGCCAGACCGGCCGACGACGCAGACGCAGACGCAGACGCAGACGCAGACGCAGACGCAGACGCAGACGCAGACGCAGACGCAGACGCAGACAACGACUGGGAGAAGAGGAGGGCGUCAGACGGGAGGUGGACACAGAGACUCAUCCAUCCCUCAUCACUGGCAACGUCACCAUCUUCACGCUACCUGCCCUGCGUCCACGUCAGCACAGCACAGUCGGGUCUUUUUCUGCUGAGGAGCCGGCGUUUCAUCGGCCAACGUGACGAACGGCCCGGCGGCGCCGGGUGUUUCAGCCUCAGCGCUGCCAUGACAGUCAAACCCAGAACUCCUGGGUUUCCUCCUUUGAAAACCUCAAAGCCGAUGACGAGCCCCCACGACUCACUCGCGCUGAACAUGACAAUGAAGUUACUGUUCGCUCGGAGCACAGGAUGUGUUCGCUCCCCGUCUGCUGCCGUUUAACAGCUGGAUGAGCAACAACUGGCCUGGCCGAGCUCCAGGCGGCACCAGCAGGAAGUCUGUCCAUGACUCACACUGUCCACACGCUCCGCUCCUCCGUCCACCAACAUGACAGCUUGUCAUGGAAGCUAUGAGAUCAGACCCUCAUUUACACAACCUUCGCCUCUAACCUCUUCAUCUGGUGGAUCCCGAGAGAAUCCAGAACUCACAAAAGUCUGAAAUCAAAGCAGCGUCCGGAUCGGUCCUCCAGUGGCUGAUCCGCGAGCAGUUUGCUUCCAUCAGACAGGCGUCGGCCUGUGAUGCAGCGCUGCAUUCCUGCACCCAAACAGCAGCAGCCGCCGACGCUCGGCGCUCGGGCCUCGUGUGUGGGAGCCUCCCCCGCUCACCUUUCCUGCCGCCCGGCCCGUCUCUUGUGAUCGUCCCGUGAUCUCAGCCGCCUCAGCUGCGCUCUGUUUUGGCUAGACUCUAUGCUGGGACCGGGCCAAAGGCACACGUGACUGCUCAGGUUCUGUCUGGGGCCGGCGUGCGUUCAAUCUGUCCUGGUCUGACCCAGCGUUCAGGCACCUGCACUGACACACUGGCCUCGUCUGGUCAAAUGCACGGAUCCGAUCCCGCCUCAGAAGUCGACCCGCGGCUCCUAAAGGGACCCGGGUGUUGGCGCCGCCACAGUGUCCGUGUCAGCCUGCUUCAUCUCCAACCCAUGGAGGGUUUCCACACGCGGUGGCGGAGCUGGCUCCGUGCCCGAGGCAUGAGGAGGCAGGAAGGGGGGUCAGACGCAGGAAGGGCCGACAGAGGGAAGUCGAAGUGACAAGACAGGACGUGACCAGCAGACAGUGGGAAGUGGAACGGGGAGAUUCAGCCUGCGAAUGAUGACCCGCUUCAAAUCCAUCUAGACAUCAACACGUAAAUAUUAGUUUUUAUUGUUAUAAAAUCUGCAGCAUUUUCCCUUCAGCCUGGACGCUGUGGAAGCUCCUCUGAUUGGAGAUCAGCGGAUCCUUCGUCAGAGGCUUGUGAUUCCACAGUGAGCAACGCAUUAGUCAUUAGUCAAACUCUGAAAAAGCCACAACUAUGUGUUUUAGCAAAAUAAACUCCCAACAGAGUUUUCUAGGUUUGUUUCG